rnacentral:rRNA from 1 species
UCGUCCGCUCAGGGUUAGUCGGGACCUAAGCCGAGGCCGAAAGGCGUAGGUGAUGGACAACAGGUUGAGAUUCCUGUACCACCUUCUUCCCGUUUGAGCGAUGGGGGGACGCAGGAGGAUAGGGCGAGCAGGCGGCUGGAAGAGCCUGUCCAAGCCGUGAGGCUGAUCCGCAGGCAAAUCCGCGGAUCAUAAGGCCAAGCGGUGACGGCGACGGAGUAAUCCGGAAGUCCCCGAUUUCACACUGCCAAGAAAAGCCUCUAGCGA